CAGGGAAUAAACAAGAGUUACUGCACACAGUCUUGCUUUAUCAACACGGUCUUUUUAAGCGACCUCUACCAGUAUCAGAUGACAAAAGACUCACCAUGCCGCUGUUCCAGUUAUUGUUCUCCGAGUUGUAGCUGGAAGGCCAGGAUGACUUGGGAUCAGACUGCAUCUGCUGAUGCAUGAUCCACGCAGCCUCACCUCCGCCUCUGUCGCUGCCAACUGAAUCG